rnacentral:tRNA from 1 species
AGGCACGUAGCUCAAGUGGUAGAGCGCUAUCUUGACGUGGUAGAUGUUGGCGGUUCAAGUCCGCCCGUGCCUACCA